UGUCUCUUGACACCUCCAUAAGAGAUAAAUACUGCCCAGUGGCCUUCUUCUAUAAACGGCCGCGGUACAUUGACCGUGCUAAGGUAGCAUAAUAAUUUGCCCUAUAAUUCAGGGAUUGAAUGAAUGAGUUAACACAAAAUAUACUGUCUCUAUUUUAAACCAAAAAAUUAAUAUCCUAGUGAAAAAGCUUGGAUUACAUAAAAAGACAAGAAGACCCUAAAAGCUUAAUAACCACACUUGUAAAUCAAAAACCGUUUUUUAGUUGGGAGGACUUCAAAUAAAUUAAACAUUUUAGUAAAAUAAAGAAAAUUCAACAAUAUCAACCCAAAAUUGAAUAUAAGUAAGCUACUUUAGGGAUAACAGGCUAAUAUUCUUUAAGAGUACACAUUGACAAGAAUGUUUGGCACCUCGAUGUUGGCUUAGGAGCCCAUUUUUAUGCAGAAAUAAAAAUCGGGGGUUUGUUCAACCCUUUAAAUCCUACAUGA
rnacentral:rRNA from 1 species